rnacentral:rRNA from 1 species
UGGGGAAUUUUCCGCAAUGGGCGAAAGCCUGACGGAGCAAUACCGCGUGAGGGACGAAGGCCUGUGGGUUGUAAACCUCUUUUGUUAGGGAAGAUAAUGACGGUACCUAACGAAUAAGCAUCGGCUAACUCCGUGCCAGCAGCCGCGGUAAGACGGAGGAUGCAAGCGUUAUCCGGAAUUAUUGGGCGUAAAGCGUACGUAGGCUGUUUAAUAAGUCUGUUGUCAAAGCCCGAGGCUCAACCUUGGAUCGGCAAUGGAAACUGUUAGACUAGAGAGAGAUAGGGGCAGGAGGAAUUCCAGGUGUAGCGGUGAAAUGCGUAGAUAUCUGGAAGAACACCAGUGGCGAAAGCGUCCUGCUGGAUCUCAACUGACGCUGAAGUACGAA